CUCCCCUUUCACCUGCAUUAUGCCUUGAUCUGGGUAACAGUGACACAGCAACACUCCAUGCCAGGGGAUGGGGUGAAUGGCAUCAGAUAUGGACGUACUAACAGGUCAUAAGACCUUUCGCCCAAUUUGAUUUUUGGAGAGAGCAUCUCUAGAUACUGUCGCAACAUGGAUUUUAUCUCUCUCUGCUGGUACACGCAGGUGAUGACUUCCAGAGAUCAGCUAGUAGUUUCUUUGCCUGUGAUUACCCAAAUUAAUGUUACAUAGGUAUCAUAAUAUUCCAUGGAACUCUUGGG